GCCAGCCUAGCUCAAUUGGUAGAGCAUGAUACUCUUAAUCUCAGGGUCGUGGGUUUGAGCCCCACGUUGGGCU
rnacentral:tRNA from 1 species